AAGUGUUUGGCCGAGAUCGUGAGUUUUUAUCAAAUGACCUCAAAUCAGGCAAGAAUACCCGCUGAACUUAAGCAUAUCAAUAAGCGGAGGAAAAGAAACUAACAAGGAUUCCCCUAGUAACGGCGAGUGAAGAGGGAAGAGCUCAAAUUUUAAAUCUGCCUUGUUCCAAGGUCGAGUUGUAAUUUGAAGAAGCGUUUUCUUGGGCUCGCGGCCGGUAGAAGUUCUUUGGAACAGGACAUCAUAGAGGGUGACAAUCCCGUCCGUGACCGGUCGUGCGUUCAUAUACGAUACGCUUUCAAAGAGUCGAGUUGUUUGGGAUUGCAGCUCCAAACGGGUGGUAAACAUCACCUAAGGCUAAAUAUUGGCGAGAGACCGAUAGCGAACAAGUACCGUGAGGGAAAGAUGAAAAGAACUUUGAAAAGAGAGUUAAACAGUACGUGAAAUUGUUGAAAGGGAAACGAUUGAAGUCAGUCGUGCUGGCGCGAAAUCAACCCUCUCGUCUUGAGAUCACAUGGCGCGACGAGCCUCAAAACCGUCACGAAGCGUGAACUCUUGACGAAAAGGUGCACUUUCGUGUCCGCUGGUUAACAUCAAUUUCGAACGUCAUAAAAAGGCUGGAGGGAUGUGGCUCCUUCGGGAGUGUUAUAACCUUUAGCGGAAUGUGGCGUUCGGGAUUGAGGAUUGCAACGAAUACCUUCAGGGCUGUUCCACCUGGCUUCUCAUUGGUAUCCUGGUGACGACAGCUUGCUGACGUCGUUAGGAUCAGCUUCUGAACAGGCUAGAGUGUGAGCAAAUUCGUUAAGGAUGUUAACGUAAUGGCUUUAAACGACC
rnacentral:rRNA from 1 species